CCUACGGGUGGCAGCAGUGAGGAAUAUUGGUCAAUGGACGCAAGUCUGAACCAGCCAUGCCGCGUGCAGGAAGACGGCUCUAUGAGUUGUACACUGCUUUUGUACGGGGGUAAACGCAGUUACGCGUAUCUGUCUGAAAGUAUCGUACGAAUAAGGAUCGGCUAACUCCGUGCCAGCAGCCGCGGUAAUACGGAGGAUUCAAGCGUUAUCCGGAUUUAUUGGGUUUAAAGGGUGCGUAGGCGGUCGGAUAAGUUAGAGGUGAAAUCCCGAGGCUCAACUUCGGAAUUGCCUCUGAUACUGUGCGGCUAGAGAGUAGUUGCGGUAGGCGGAAUGUAGGGGGUAGCGGGGAAAUGCUUAGAGAUCAUACAGGACACCGAUUGCGGAGGCAGCUUACCAAGCUACGUCUGACGUUGAGGCACGAAAGCGUGGGGAGCAAACAGGAUUAGAUACCCCGAGUAGUC
rnacentral:rRNA from 1 species